GCGUUGUCCGGAAUUAUUGGGCGUAAAGGGCUCGUAGGCGGUUUGUCGCGUCGGGAGUGAAAUCCACUGGCUUAACUGGUGGCUUGCUUUCGAUACGGGCAGACUGGAGGUAUGCAGGGGAGAACGGAAUUCCUGGUGUAGCGGUGAAAUGCGCAGAUAUCAGGAGGAACACCGGUGGCGAAGGCGGUUCUCUGGGCAUGUCCUGACGCUGAGGAGCGAAAGUGUG
rnacentral:rRNA from 1 species